ACAACAACGGGAUGACAGCAAUACAGUGAUACAGAGAUUAGCAUGGCCCCUGCUCAGGGGUGACAUGCAAAUUCGUGGAGCAUUGCAUGUAAAA
rnacentral:snRNA from 1 species